AGGACGAACGCUGGCGGCGUGCUUAACACAUGCAAGUCGAACGAGGCCCUACCUUCGGGUAGGUGACCUAGUGGCGAACGGGUGAGUAACACGUGGGCAACCUACCCUCAGCUCUGGGAUAACCCCGGGAAACCGGAGCUAAAUACCGGAUAUGACCUUGAACGACAUCGUUCUUGGUGGAAAGUUUUUCGGCUGAGGAUGGGCCCGCGGCCUAUCAGCUUGUUGGCGGGGUAAUGGCCCACCAAGGCGACGACGGGUAG
rnacentral:rRNA from 1 species